GCAGGCUGCAACCCGCCUGCAUGAAGUUGGAAUCGCUAGUAAUCGCGGAUCAGCAUGCCGCGGUGAAUACGUUCCCGGGCCUUGUACACACCGCCCGUCAAACCAUGAGAGUUGGCAACACCCGAAGUCGGUAGUCUAACCGCAAGGAGGACGCCGCCGAAGGUGGGGUUGAUGAUUAGGGUUAAGUCGUAACAAGGUACC
rnacentral:rRNA from 1 species